rnacentral:tRNA from 1 species
GGCGCGAUAGCAAAGCGGCCAUGCACCGGAUUGCAAAUCCGUAGACGGCGGUUCGACUCCGCCUCGCGCCUCCA